rfam:Gossypium raimondii Chr11_contig_30, whole genome shotgun sequence.
UGUAUAAAAAUUCCAUUCAUUUCUACUGUUAAAAACUGACAUCGCUGACUAAAUAACCAAACAGUGACACGUGAUAUGUCACAUGCACCUCAUGUUAACGUAUAGGGACCACUUUUAACAGUAGAUUCGGAUGAAAUUUUUAACA